AUGCCAACAAUGGGUCUGUCUGCACGAAGGACUAAAGAAGGCAGCUGCUCCCAACCCCAGCCCCUCUGCUGCCUUGGAACGGAUCACCACUGCAAGAGAGGAAGCUGCUACUGUGAUGAAUUCUGCCAUGUGGCACCAGACUGCUGCCCAGACCACCAUGCCCUUUGCAACCCUGGUAACGCACAUGCAGGUUCCUUUCCACCCCUGGCAGAGCUGGAUGCUGUGAUUGACAGAGGCAAACUCCUUGUACAUACUUCAGGCCAAGGCCAGGCAGGGGACUGGAUAACUCCUAAUAUCCCUGACAAUCUUGAAAUCCUGGCAUCUGUCCAUUUUAUGUCAAAAGUGCCUACAUGUUCCUCCUAGCUUUCUUUCCUCACUGCUCCUUGCCACCUGCUGCUCCCCUCUGAGCCACUUUUGCAGGUCCCACAGGGAGAGGUUAAGCUGUUGGUGGUUGGGGAUCAGGGUAGGGAAUGGGGCAGUCAGGCUCCACCUAACUGCCCCUCCUCCCCUUGUAGUAUAGAUGCCUCUUGACCCAUCCCAUAUAGACUUUCGAGGGCAGACAGGUGUCUGCAGAGGGAUGCUGGGGAUGUCAAGAAGUGGCGGUGCGAUGGGAGGCAGGGAUGAGGACAGGAGCUUUCACCCUGCAUUUCCCAGCCUCUUGGACUACCAACAUGGUCCUGCAGAUGGUGCUGAGGGUGGAGAACCCACCAAGCCCUGCCGGAAGCAAUCCAGACUGGAUGCAGAGCCUGGUGGGCGCCCUGGAGGUUCUCCCAGAAGGGCUGGGUGGCAACCCGCUCCUGCCUCCCUGGCCUCCAGGCCCCAAAGUCAGGGAGCAAUGACCAAAGAGGGCACAGGGACCUGAGCCAGGGCAGAGCUCCAUUGCAGCCAUGGUUUCAGAGUCGGAGCCAGGGUUCCUGCUCAUUAAAAGUGACGCUUGAAUUCAUACCAUUUUCGCGUAUCAUGAAAUAUGCUUCUUCUUUGGACUUUUUUCAACCAUUUAAAAAUGUAGCAACCAUACUUGUGGCCCAUCCAAAAAACAGGCAGCAAGACAGAAUUGGCCUAUGGACUGUGGUUUGCUACUCUCUUCCCUAGAUCAUCCUCUGUUCUUAGCUUUCCUUCUGUGUCCUGGCUUCAGCCCUGACCUGUCCAGAGCUCUCUGCCCAGUGCUGGAGGAGAGGCCAUUGCCCCCAUCCCAGCAUAUUGUGGCACUGGGCAGAAAGAAAGGCAGCAUAGUGCAGUGAAAGAGCUUGGACUCGGGAGCCGGAUAGACCUGGGUUCAAAUCCUGGCUUCACCACUUAUUACCUGGGUGACCUCAAGCAACUCCUUCAGCCUUUGUGAGCCUCCGUUUCUCUGUCUGUGUUC
rnacentral:lncRNA from 1 species